AUGGAUCUUGACGUCAUGCUUCACGCUUCCGCCGACACCGCCCUCACCGCCUACUCCGAUGCAGACUGGGCGGGCUGCCCUGACACUCGUCGCUCCACUUUGGGCUAUUGUGUCUACCUUGGCCCCUCACUCAUCUCGUGGUUGUCCAAGCGGCAGCCUACGGUUGCCCUUGGCCAUAUUCAUGUUUUACACAUCCCCACUUCCCAACAAUUUGCAGAUAUCAUGACCAAGGGCCUGCCUACGGCAUCAUUUGAGGAGUUCCGGUCCAGUCUUUGCGUCAGCCGCGGUGCCGCUUCGACUGGGGGGGGGGGGUGUUGA
rnacentral:rRNA from 1 species